rnacentral:rRNA from 1 species
GGGUCAGGAGGCGGGUCGUGCCACCGGUACGUACUGGUCUCACUGAUUCCUCCUUCCUGAAGAACCGUAAUGCCAUUAAUUUGGUGUUGCGGGGAAACAGGACUGUUACUUUGAAAAAAUUAUAGUGUUUAAAGCAAGCUAACGCUUGAAUACAUUAGCAUGGAAUAAUGAAAUAGGACGAUCGAUCCUAUUUUGUUGGUUUCUAGGAUUGACGUA